rnacentral:rRNA from 1 species
UACGUAGGGGGCGAGCGUUGUCCGGAUUUAUUGGGCGUAAAGAGCUCGUAGCGGUUUGGUAAGUCGGGUGUGAAAUCUCCACGCUCAACGUGGAGGGGCCACUCGAUACUGCCAUGACUCGAGUCCGGUAGAGGAGUGUGGAAUUCCCGGUGUAGCGGUGAAAUGCGCAGAUAUCGGGAGGAACACCCGUAGCGAAGGCGGCACUCUGGGCCGGAACUGGACGCUGAGGAGCGAAAGCGUGGGGAGCAAACAGGG